rnacentral:misc_RNA from 1 species
UUCACAAGCAAUAGAUUCAAAUCUCGCUAGAGGCCUUAACAUUAUCUAUCCCAUGAUUCAAUAAUAAAAUAAACACCAAAAAAAACUAGGUCCUAAAGAUUUUCUUAAGAGUACAACUGAAUAAAUUACAAGCCAAUGAUAGGCCAAGAAACUUAAGAUCCCCCCUCAACAACAAAUAGGAUAGAAAAGGAAACCAUUUAGGUAUUAAUUCAAUGUCCAGGUAAAUGUGAUCAAAAUUCAUGGCAUAUGACCCAAAACACUUCAUAUCAGGCCAAAAAUAAAUAAAUAAAUACAAAUGAUACCAGUACCACAAGAAAAUUACAUGAAUAAAAUGGUAAAUAAAAUAAAAGGAAUGUUCCCCCUCCAUCAAACUGUGUUAUGCACAAUUUGUGUUUUUGGAAUUUUCAGAAAAUGUACAAUUUGCAAUUUUAAAUGUA